ACCCCAGGCCCACCGGAAAGCAGGACCCAGUCAAACCCACUGCGCCACCAAGUCCCCCCCUCCAUAAACCGUGGACUGAAGGGCUGUCCUUCCUGUGAGGAGGUGGUGAAAGUGCAUCAGUGUGAAGGACAGAAAGCCACAGCAUCCGGUCUCAAAGAACAUCCCCUGCAGCUGCUGGUGAAUCCCUCCAUACGAACACACACUACCACCGCCCACAGCAGGUCCUUCCCCACUUCAGCAGUUCACUUCCCCGAACGAUUUUUUAAUGGUAUGUACACAAAAGUCUUCAGGCUGGCACUAAUGAGCAUAAGAAAUUUUCAAAUGGCUAUAACCGCUUGUUUAAAAAUCGUUAAUUCUGAACAUUUUUGCCAGUUAUUGCUGUGGGGGGGAAUAUGGGAGCACAGCGGGAUUGGCCAGUGCCUGCUGUAUGCUGAGUCUUGUGUGGGGUGCCCUCUGAUGGCCCGGUGUCUCGUCCAGCGUGUUUCCCCUUCUCCUUCAGCCUUGCACCCUGUCUCUCCGGGAUAGGCUCCGGCUUGCUGCGACCCUGCUCGGGACAAGCGGUUGUUGACGUGGGUUGGUUGCUGUAGCGGUACUGUUAUCUGACAAUAGUUUAAAAUUGUUCAAGAAAACAUGAGCCUCAGCUUGGAAUGAUUUAAUGAAAAUCUCUUAUGCCCAUUGUCACAUGCUUUUGUCGUAACAGUAAGGCUUGUGGGCCAAGAGGUGUGGAGGCCAGAGCUGUGGUGCCCCUCAGCAAGUUAAUUAGGUUAAAAAGUAACUCAGGUUACUAUAAAAGCAACAAGUUUAAAGAUUAAACUUCGGACUGAGGAAAGGACUUUAUCGGUUCUUUCUGAGAAUCCUGGGAAGGGAGAAUAUAUAGUGGUGCUUGAAAGUUUGUGAACCCUUCAAAGUUUUAUCGGUUUCUGUAUACAUACGACCUAAAAUGUGAUCAGAUUUUCCCACAAAUCCUAAAAGUAGAUAAAAAGAACCCAAUUAAACAAAUGAGACAAAAACUGUAUACUUGUUCGUUUAUUUGUUGAGCAAAAUGAUCCAAUGUUACAUAUCUGUGUCGCAAAGGUAUGUGAACCUUUGCUUUCAGUAACUGGUGUCACCCCCUUCUACAGCAAUAAUUGCAAAUAAACGUUUCCGAUAACUGUUGAUCA
rnacentral:lncRNA from 1 species